rnacentral:tRNA from 1 species
UAUGUUUUGGUGUAGGAUGCACAAGAAUUUUUGAUAUUCUGAGUAGUAGUUUAAAUCUAUUAAAUGUAA